GACGAACCGAGCGAACGUUGUUCGGAAUCACUGGGCUUAAAGGGCGCGUAGGCGGGUGCUCAAGUCUGUGGUGAAAUCCUCCGGCUCAACUGGGCGGGGUCCAUGGAAACUGGUCAGCUGGAGGACGGUAGAGGUGAGUGGAAUUCCUGGUGUAGCGGUGAAAUGCGCAGAUAUCAGGAAGAACACCCGUGGCGAAGGCGGCUCUCUGGGACGGUACUGACGCUGAGACGCGAAAGCGUGGGGAGCGAACAGG
rnacentral:rRNA from 1 species